rnacentral:rRNA from 1 species
UACGUAGGGUGCAAGCGUUGUCCGGAAUUAUUGGGCGUAAAGAGCUCGUAGGCGGUCUGCCGCGUCUGCUGUGAAAACUCAGGGCUUAACCCUGAGCUUGCAGUGGGUACGGGCAGACUAGAGUGCGGUAGGGGAGACUGGAAUUCCUGGUGUAGCGGUGAAAUGCGCAGAUAUCAGGAGGAACACCGGUGGCGAAGGCGGGUCUCUGGGCCGUAACUGACGCUGAGGUGCGAAAGCGUGGGGAGCAAACAGG